AGGGACUUUUUUAUUCUGUAUAAAUGUGUCUUCCGUUCUAUGACCGGGCGUGGUCAUAGCGUCCCAAGGCGCAAUACUCCCACGUCAGCGCUUUGAAAUUGCGUACUUUCGUAGGAAGCGGCUGCGCACCUGGUC
rnacentral:sRNA from 1 species